GAAAAUAACUUAGUGGCGAACGGGUGAGUAACGCGUGAGUAACCUGCCCUGGAGUGGGGGACAACAGUUGGAAACGACUGCUAAUACCGCAUAAGCCCACGGCCCGGCAUCGGGCUGCGGGAAAAGGAUUUAUUCGCUUCAGGAUGGACUCGCGUCCAAUUAGCUGGUUGGUGAGGUAACGGCCCACCAAGGCGACGAUUGGUAGCCGGACUGAGAGGUUGAACGGCCACAUUGGGACUGAGACACGGCCCAGACUCCUACGGGAGGCAGCAGUGGGGGAUAUUGCACAAUGGGGGAAACCCUGAUGCAGCGACGCCGCGUGGAGGAAGAAGGUUUUCGGAUUGUAAACUCCUGUCGUUAGGGACGAUAAUGACGGUACCUAACAAGAAAGCACCGGCUAACUACGUGCCAGCAGCCGCGGUAAAACGUAGGGUGCAAGCGUUGUCCGGAAUUACUGGGUGUAAAGGGAGCGCAGGCGGACCGGCAAGUUGGAAGUGAAAACUAUGGGCUCAACCCAUAAAUUGCUUUCAAAACUGCUGGCCUUGAGUAGUGCAGAGGUAGGUGGAAUUCCCGGUGUAGCGGUGGAAUGCGUAGAUAUCGGGAGGAACACCAGUGGCGAAGGCGACCUACUGGGCACCAACUGACGCUGAGGCUCGAAAGCAUGGGUAGCAAACAGGAUUAGAUACCCUGGUAGUCCAUGCCGUAAACGAUGAUUACUAGGUGUUGGAGGAUUGACCCCUUCAGUGCCGCAGUUAACACAAUAAGUAAUCCACCUGGGGAGUACGACCGCAAGGUUGAAACUCAAAGGAAUUGACGGGGGCCCGCACAAGCAGUGGAGUAUGUGGUUUAAUUCGAAGCAACGCGAAGAACCUUACCAGGUCUUGACAUCCGAUGCAUAGUGCAGAGAUGCAUGAAGUCCUUCGGGACAUCGAGACAGGUGGUGCAUGGUUGUCGUCAGCUCGUGUCGUGAGAUGUUGGGUUAAGUCCCGCAACGAGCGCAACCCUUAUUGCCAGUUACUACGUAAGAGGACUCUGGCGAGACUGCCGUUGACAAAACGGAGGAAGGUGGGGAUGACGUCAAAUCAUCAUGCCCUUUAUGACCUGGGCUACACACGUACUACAAUGGCGUUUAACAAAGAGAAGCAAGACCGCGAGGUGGAGCAAAACUCAAAAACAACGUCUCAGUUCAGAUUGCAGGCUGCAACUCGCCUGCAUGAAGUCGGAAUUGCUAGUAAUCGCGGAUCAGCAUGCCGCGGUGAAUACGUUCCCGGGCCU
rnacentral:rRNA from 1 species